ACCUAAUUAGCUUAAGACAAAGCCUGAAACUCUUAAUUUCAGUGAUAAUAAUAUAUUAUUAGGUU
rnacentral:tRNA from 1 species